GGGUGUGAUGAGUUAUUAAUUAUAAUGAUGUUUUAAAUACAUGCAUUGUGUAAAGGCUUACAUUUUUAUUUCAUGGACAAGAAUUGAAAUAAGAAGAGAAUAUAUGAAAUUGUUGACAUGGCAUUGAAACAUAAAUGGAUACGUGAAACAUAAAUUAAUCUGUUAGACUAUUUUAUCUACUUCUAUUGUCCCCACCUUAUCUGUAAAGAUGUGAGAUGAUCACUCCUUGUGGAUGAUGACAUGAAACUGCGUAGGAAAUCUUAGGACCAUUGUGGCAAAGUACAACAAUGAUCAU
rnacentral:lncRNA from 1 species